UAAAAGUUUGAUUCUGUCUUUCAAAUUAGUUUAUUCAUUAGUUUAUAUGGGGGAUUGUUAAUCAUUUUAUUCCAGUAAAAAGUAUUUUUAAUAGGGUUAACUUUGAAAUAGUAAAUGAAUAGUUAGUAGAUGAAAUUUGUGCCAGCAUUCGCGGUUAUACAAUUUACUAAGAUUAAUUUUAUAGAAUUUAAUUUUUAAAUAUUAUUAAGAUAAUAGUUAUAUUUUAUUUAGGUGGAAUUUAUAUUUUAAUUUAAUUUUCUUUAAAUAAAUUUAUUAUAAAAAAUUUUAUUAUUAAACUAGGAUUAGAUACCCUAUUAUUUUUAACGUAAUAAAUUAAUUCUGAAUAGUAUUAGUUAUGUUCUUUUAAGCUCAAAGAAUUUGGCGGUAAAGUAUCUUCUUAGAGGAACCUGUAGAUUAAUUGAUAAACCACGAUAGAGUCUACUUUUAUUAAAUAUUUGUAUACCGCUAUAUCAAAGAAUGUUCUCACAGGAUAUUUUCUUUUUCUUAAUAGAUUUAUAUUAGGUCAAGGUGCAGUUUUUAAAAAGUUUUUAUGGGUUACUAAAAUUAUAAAUCUAUAGGUCAACUUUAGUAGUUAUUAAGUUGUUAAUAAGGAUUUAAUAGUAAACUUAUCUAAUUAGUUAAAUUGAAUUGAGCUCUACUUUAUGUACAUAUCGCCCGUCACUCCUAAAAUAAUUUAGGAUAAGUCGUAACAAAGUAAUUUUACCGGAAGGUGAGGUUAGUAUAAA
rnacentral:ncRNA from 1 species